UACAGAGGGUGCGAGCGUUAAUCGGAAUUACUGGGCGUAAAGCGCGCGUAGGCGGCUUUGCAAGUCGGGUGUGAAAUCCCCAGGCUUAACCUGGGAACUGCAUUCGAGACUGCAUUGCUAGAGUAUGGGAGAGGGAAGUGGAAUUUCCGGUGUAGCGGUGAAAUGCGUAGAUAUCGGAAGGAACAUCAGUGGCGAAAGCGACUUCCUGGACCAAUACUGACGCUCAUGUGCGAAAGCGUGGAGAGCAAACAGG
rnacentral:rRNA from 1 species